ensembl:snRNA
GUAUGUAUGAAAGGAGAGAAGGUUAGUGCUCUCCUGGACAAGGAUGAAAGAGGCCCUUGGGCCUGACAACAUGCAUAUAGUGAGGGUGUUGCCACCUACUUUGAGGCAUCUAAGCAUCAUUUUUG